GGAGCAUGUGGGUUUAUUCGAAGCAACGCGCAGAACCUUACCAGCUUUUGACAUGUCCUGGACGGUUACCAGAGAUGGGUUCCUCUCUUCGGAGCCAGGAACACAGGUGCUGCAUGGCUGUCGUCAGCUCGUGUCGUGAGAUGUUGGGUUAAGUCCCGCAACGAGCGCAACCCCACGUCCUUAGUUGCCAUCAUUCAGUUGGGCACUCUAGGGAGACUGCCGGUGAUAAGCCGAGAGGAAGGUGUGGAUGACGUCAAGUCCUCAUGGCCCUUACAGGCUGGGCUACACACGUGCUACAAUGGCGGUGACAAUGGGAUGCAAAAGGGCGACCUCUAGCAAAUCUCAAAAAUCCGUCUCAGUUCGGAUUGUUCUCUGCAACUCGAGAGCAUGAAGGUGGAAUCGCUAGUAAUCGCAGAUCAGAACGCUGCGGUGAAUACGUUCCCGGGCCUUGUACACACCGCCCGUCACACCAUGGGAGUUGGCUUUACCCGAAGGCGUUUCGCUAACCGCAAGGAGGCAGACGACCACGGUAGGGUCAGCGACUGGGGUGAAGUCGUAACAAGGUAACC
rnacentral:rRNA from 1 species